rnacentral:misc_RNA from 1 species
GGGAAAGGCAAUAAGCUGCGAUGUUGAAGUUUCUGUCUAAAGUGAAGAUCGAAUUCAAUGCCCUCGAUCCACGCUUAGCGUCUUGCAUGGAAUUCUUGGCGCAGUGUAAUGCUCGAAAGGCCAAGGAAUCGAAUCCCGCUUGCCAAUUGAUCGUCAAGCGCCGAACCGACGACCAUCCGCCCCAGAUCGCCGUCACCUUCGUCAAUGGAGUCGAAGAGGUUUUUGAUGCUACCUCUACUCCUGCUCA